rnacentral:tRNA from 1 species
AUCCUGGUGGUCAGUGGCUAAGACUCUGUACUUCCAAUGCAGGGGACCUAAGUUCAAUCCCUGGUCAGGGUA